UAAUAGCUCAGUUGGUAGAGCCUGAGACUUUUAAUUUCAGGGUCGUGGGUUCAUGCCCCACACUGGGCAAAA